ACCGCGAGAUCGUGACCUGGCUGAAGUCGGACGCUUAACCGACUGCGCCACCCAGGCGCCCCUUUAAAUUUAUUUCUUUUGAGACAGAGAGAGAGUGUGUGUGAGAGCAGGGUAGGGGCAGAGAGAGAGGGAGAGAAAGAGAUCACAAUGUGGACUUGAUCUCACAAUCAGACCAUGACCUGAGCUGAAAACAAGGGUUGGAUACUCAACCAGCUGAGCCACUCAGGCGCCCCUAAAUCCCAUGUUUCAGUUAAGAGUAAAAGGCAUCUAUGUUUCUUCAUUCUCAACUUCUGAUCAUCACCAAGCUGAUGGAAAAAGGAACGUAGAUUUCUUUGAAAAGAGGAAGUGGAGAUCAGAGUGACUUUGAGCCCCUGAGAUGUCGCUUGAUUUCCCACUUUCCUGGAGGCCAGAUGGAGACCAGGUGCUUUACCUUAAUGCGAGUGACAGCACAGUUCUGCUCAGUGAAUGCUCAGCGAGGAAUGACUGCCGGCUUGCGUCGCGUACACAACUGAUGGGCUUUGUAAGUUAUCCUUGCGCUGAAUUUGUUUCACGUUAAGUAUCAUUUUCCCAAUGACUUUCACCAUGACUUCGGAUUAAAUUUAUAUUGUUUUGUAUUACUGAGUAAUGAGCCUGAGCUUAUUUUUACUCUUUUUGAGUAAUUGAGCAAGCUGUCACCACCUUCCUUGAGAAAAUAUGCACUCAAGAGGAUCAGCGACACAGUAUUGCAUACAUGCAAGCACGCACCGAGCACAGAGCUCUUGGAGAGUUUCCUCACCUGCCAAAUGGCAGAUUCCUUCCACCUUUAUGCAUCUGUGAUAUUAUGAUUCUUGAGUAACGAUUCCUAAACUUUCUUGUACCUAAUUUACUUGGAGGUCCUGUUAUGCAGAUCCUGAUUAGUAGAUCUGGGUUAAGACCCAAGAUACUGCAUUUCUAAGAAGCUUCCAGGUGAUGACAGUGAUGUUGGUGCAUGAACCAAAGCUCUACUAAAUAACUUUAAUGCUCCUUCUCGCAUCGAGGAGCUGAUGGUUUCUUUAUGUAAGCAAAGAUAUAUACACUUAGGAGGGUUCGUAUUUAAAGAAACUUCAACGUACCUUUGAACAUUAUUGUAAAAAAAUCUAACCAUAAAGCAUUUGUCUACUUUUAUGUAUCAAGUUUACCACUGUGCACUUAUUAUUUUUGGCUAUUUUUUUUUUAAUUAAAAACUGACAAUUCCAAUUGCUGGAAAAGAUGUGGAGGAAUAAGAGCUCUCGUUCAGUGUUGAUGGUACAGCCAUUUUGGGAGAUAGUUUAGCAGUUUGUUAUGAUGCUAAACGUGAUCUUACUGUAUGACUCAGAAGUCGCCCUCCUAAGUAUUUGAUAAUUUGAAAACUCAUACACAUAUGCAAUGUGCAUGCAGUGUUUAUAGUAACUUUAUAAUGACUAGAAACUGGGGCGCCUGGGUGGCGCAGUCGGUUAAGCCUCUGACUUCAGCCAGGUCACGAUCUCGCGGUCCGUGUCGAGCCCCGCGUCAGGCUCUGGGCUGAUGGCUCAGAGCCUGGAGCCUGUUUCCGAUGCUGUGUCUCCCUCUCUCUCUGCCCCUCCCCCGUUCAUGCUCUGUUUCUCUCUGUCUCAAAAAUAAAUAAAAAACAUUGAAAAAAAAAAUUAGAAAC
ensembl:lncRNA